rnacentral:rRNA from 1 species
UCCAGACUCCUACGGGAGGCAGCAGUGGGGGAUAUUGCACAAUGGGGGGAACCCUGAUGCAGCGACGCCGCGUGGGUGAAGGAGCGUUUCGGCGCGUAAAGCCCUAUCGGCAGGGAAGAAGGAGGACGGUACCUGACUAAGAAGCCCCGGCUAACUACGUGCCAGCAGCCGCGGUAAUACGUAGGGGGCAAGCGUUAUCCGGAUUUACUGGGUGUAAAGGGGGCGCAGACGGCAGCGCAAGCCAGGAGUGAAAGCCCGGGGCCCAACCCCGGGACUGCUCUUGGAACUGCGCGGCUGGAGUGCAGGAGGGGCAGGCGGAAUUCCUGGUGUAGCGGUGAAAUGCGUAGAUAUCAGGAGGAACACCGGUGGCGAAGGCGGCCUGCUGGACUGCGACUGACGUUGAGGCCCGAAAGCGUGGGGAGCAAACAGGAUUAGAUACCCCGGUACCC